rnacentral:other from 1 species
GAUUCCCUGCCAUGCGCGUGCUGAUUUAGUAAAUUUUGAGCCAUUAAUAUUUAAUAGGGAACCUAAGGCAAGAUGUGGCUGUAGGCUUCGACUUCGUCGAAGAAACAAUAAACAUCUGGAAAGGUACCCACCUGUACUAACAGGGUUCAAAAAUUGCUAAACUCGCACGGCUUGUGCGGGGAUUUU